ACUCACUAACUAACAUUAACCACAGGGUAGUUGUCAUGUAUAAGAAACUUGGAUGUUGAAAAAUGAUUAAAACAAAUAGAAAGAGUUAAAUGUAACAGGUGAUAAUUACGUGUAAUAAUUAUAUCUAACGAGGUGUUUACUGAAACUGAAUCAGUGUAAUCUACUUGUUUCUUUCUUUAGAUAAAGUAAAGCUAACUGAGGUAAUAAGCAGAGUGAAGUGGGAGCUCACAGCUCUUCUUUAAAUGGAGUGACGCCCCCUGGUGUUCAGUGCUCAGUACAACAGCCCCUCCCUCCCUGAUCUCUCAGUCAGACUGUGUGGAACAUUUAUUUCUCUCAGUUUUCUCAGUGUUGGUUGAAUGUUUUCUAAUGUUGUCAGUGAUUGAGGCUGUGAUUUAUUGGGAUGUUGCUCAUGUUGACACAGUGUCAGUAAACUGGUGGUGGGACAGUAACAGUCACUGACCUGAUGUAUAAAGAUCAUUAGCAUCAGUUUGUACAGAGGAUGUUACAGACACUGAACUCAGACACACUGUAGAAAUAUUCUGAAUCCAACUUUCACACCUCAGAGUUUCUGAAGAGUCCACUCAUGAAAUCUGACCCACUUUGAUUUGAUUUCUACUUUGGUUUCUUCAUGUGUCUUCAUGCUUGGAAUGACUAGUUCACAUCUGUCAGACCACAGAAACAUCUGGAUCCUCUAAUGUUGGACUUUAUCUGUGAAGCAGCCAUAUUUGAGUGAAUUCACUAUAUUGUGUUGUUCCACAUGAAAUCACGUCCUGAUUGAUGCAGUUUUCUGUGAAUCCUGAAUAAAAUCUGCUUGAUGAAAAGAG